rnacentral:lncRNA from 1 species
UGACCUGUGCCCUGGGGGUCAAUGGCACCUUCGUGGUCCAGCUCCGGCACAAGUUUCCCGACUGGAGCAGCUACUGGAGUGACUGGAGCAGCAACAUCUCUGUUCCCGAGGAAAUUCUGCGGAGCCCAGUGCUGAGCCAUCAUCUGGGCAAACUGGGGAGAGAUGGGCAGCGGGUGCUGAGGCUGAGUUGGCAGCCAGUCCUCAAGGAGCAGAGGAAUGUCACCUACAAGCUGGACGUCCACAUGUUGGCGUGUGGCUGUGCAGAGUCAGAUGAGGAGGACUCUGUGGAGCUGGGCUGGGAGGAGACAGAGUACAACCUCACCCUCUCCGGGGCGGAAUACGAAAUCCUGCUGACCGCGGCCAACGCCGCGGGGCCGGGGCCGGCGCGGCAGCUCCGUGUGCCGCCAGAGCAGCGAGCGGGUACCUGCCCCUGUAGAAAUGCUGAGCUCCCCUGGCAGCUCUCAGGGCGUUAUUUCUUCCAUCCACCCCGAUUUUCCCCUGUUUCAUCCCAGAUCUCAGCUUCAAAGAGAUCAGCGUGGCAGGAGGCGCCGUGACUGCGCAGUGGGAAGCGCCGGUCCCUGGCGAUGCUUUCUGCUUCGAGCAGCAGACGCUGCCAGGGCCUCCGAAACAGGGAGUCUGCGUCCGGCAGGAAUUCCCUGCCAACAGCAGCCACGUGCAGAGCGGCAAGCCAGCCCCCCAAGCCCCCCGCUGUCCCCCCAGCUGGGGGAAGAGGGUCUAAGCAUCACCCCAAUUCCUCCCCAGGAGCGCUGGGAGCGCCGGGCUGUCACCGCCUGGCCGUGCACGGCCGGGACGAGGAGCGCGGCUGGGCCACCUUCGCCCUGUGGCACCGCUACCGCAGCAACGGUGCGUGUGCGAGCGCGGGGCAUCCGCACCUGCCUUCACUCCAUUGCGGGCUCUCCUGAAAUAAUCCCCCGCGCUUUUGCACGCAGAUUCGCUGGACGUGCCCAUCAGCAUCAGCAGCGCAGAUGUCGCGGCUGUGCUGCAGUGGACACCGUCCCCACGCGCCGCCUGUCCCGGCGCGCUGGCCAAGUACCUCAUCUGCCACUCGGCCAAGGGGGACAACGAGACCUGUGAGUGGGACCCCCAUCCCCGUGGGGCAGGAGGAGGGUGCUGCCCCCAGGCAGCCGCCAGACUGCUCCACAUUCGGUUUUGUUUGCCCAGACAGUGAAGUGAACGCCACGGCAUCAAACUACACCCUUCAAAACCUCCAGCCUGGCACAGCCUACAGGGUGAGUGUGCGGGAGGUGACAGAGGACAGCGAGGGGACCUGCAGAGUUUGGUGGCACUUCCAGACCAAGGCACUGGGUCCCCAGGGAGCAGUGUGGACAGGCAAUCUGAAGUACCUGAGCAUCUCGCUGGGUCUCCCCGCCGCAGCUGCCAUCUACCACCUGACCAAAAAGAGGGUUGGCCGCCUCCUCUUCCCACCCGUUCCCCAGCCCGUGGGCACCAAAGCCAUCCAGUUCUCGGCCGGCGAGAUGAGCCAGGGCCAGCCCCGCAGAGGCCUCCUGGAACCCUCGGAGAGGUUCAAUCCAGCCGAGCUGCUGCUGCUGACGGAGCCGAAUCCCAGCGAGGAGACGACAGACACGGGCACUCAGACUGUGGUGCCGCCGCCCGACGUGGCACAGCCCGGCCCCGCGCUGGAACAGCCGGCGGCAGUGGCGGUGACCCCGCCGGGCUGUGCGGACGAGCUGCCCUUCGCCUACCGCAGGCAGGACAUGCUGAGCCCGCUGGGAUCUCCAUCCUCCGGCAGCACCAGCUGCAGCGGGCACCCACCCGCAGAGGAGGAGGAGGAGGAGGAGGAAGAGAAGGAGGAGGAGGAGGAGGAGGAGGAAGAGAAGGAGGAGGAGGGAAGGCAAGGGCUGCACCAGCCGCUGAUCCCCAUUGCCCUGCUCAUCUCCGACAAACCCAUCAUCAUCAGGGAUGGGGAAGGAUGGGAUCCCUCGCCGCAGAAGUCGGUGCCGUAGCCAUCAGCAGGCUGGAGCAGCGGGGCUGGACGGCAGGAAGGGCGCGGGGGUGUCCCACGGAAUGCGGAUUGGCUGCGUGGGAUGCUGAGUGCCCAGCCCGUGGGUGGCACCGGCACUUCCAGGGGGUUUUCUGGUUUCCAGGACACAGAAGGCGAUGCCUCUGAAUGCAGCACUGCACCGGGACAAGUUUUGGCCACGCAAUUUGCAGCCUCAACCUUUCACCGGCGAUAAAACCCGAGCGAAAGUGGCUGCAGAGUCCGGCCAGGACCGAGGGUAUUUCCAUGCCUGGGAAGAGAGGCAGAGCUCCAUCUCAGCCGGCUGCUACCUCUGGAACCACUAUCCUGGUGGAGAUGCAAAAAGCCCCAACACCAAACACCAACUACCUGCAAAAAAAAAAAAAAAAAAAAAAAAAAAAAAAGGGGGGGGGGGGGGGGGGGGGGGAAAAAAAAAAAAAAAAAAAAAAAAAUAAAACCAGGUUUAAAAUUUUAAAUAACUGCACAAAGCAGCAGGGCCGAGAUGGUUUUUCUUCGCCUGACCCGGGCAGAUUACAGCGAGCAUUUAGAGCCGAGGUUCAACCCACGGCACUGUGGAGGACGCAGGCAGGCAGCCGGGACGGGGGUGAUCCAUGGGGCCCCCCAGCCCCUUCCCGUGGGGACAGGGGGGGGGGGGGGGGGGGGGGGGGUGAUCCAUGGGGCCCCCCCAGCCCCUUCCCGUGGGGACACGCCGCCGCCUCGGGCCUUACCUGGGACAGCACUGGAGAUGAAAAGCAAUUUGUGGUUUUGUCUGCCUGGCGCGGCGGUGUUUACUUGCUGAGAGAGCAAAAAAAAAAAAAAAAAAAAGGGGGGGGGGGGGGGGGGGGGGGGGGGGGGGGGGGGGGGGGGGGGGGGGGGGGGGGGGGGGGGGGGGGGGGGGGGGGGGGGGGGGGGGGGGGG